rnacentral:rRNA from 1 species
CUACGGGAGGCAGCAGUGGGGAAUAUUGCACAAUGGGCGCAAGCCUGAUGCAGCCAUGCCGCGUGUAUGAAGAAGGCCUUCGGGUUGUAAAGUACUUUCAGCGGGGAGGAAGGGAGUAAAGUUAAUACCUUUGCUCAUUGACGUUACCCGCAGAAGAAGCACCGGCUAACUCCGUGCCAGCAGCCGCAGGUAAUACGGAGGGUGCAAGCGUUAAUCGGAAUUACUGGGCGUAAAGCGCACGCAGGCGGUUUGUUAAGUCAGAUGUGAAAGCCCCGGGCUCAACCUGGGAACUGCAUCUGAUACUGGCAAGCUUGAGUCUCGUAGAGGGGGGUAGAAUUCCAGGUGUAGCGGUGAAAUGCGUAGAGAUCUGGAGGAAUACCGGUGGCGAAGGCGGCCCCCUGGACGAAGACUGACGCUCAGGUGCGAAAGCGUGGGGAGCAAACAGGAUUAGAUACCCUCGUAGUC